GCAUGUGGGUCACAACCACAGCAUGGCUUGAUGAGUGGUGUCAUGUCUGUGCCUGGAAUUCGAACCGGUGAAACCUGGCCACUGAAAUAGA